GAUGAAGAACGCAGCGAAAUGCGAUAAGUAAUGUGAAUUGCAGAAUCCAGUGAAUCAUCGAAUCUUUGAACGCACAUUGCGCCCGCCAGCAUUCUGGCGGGCAUGCCUGUUCGAGCGUCAUUUCAACCCUCGACCUCCCUUUGGGGAAGUCGGCGUUGGGGACCGGCAGCACACCGCCGGCCCUGAAAUGGAGUGGCGGCCCGUCCGCGGCGACCUCUGCGUAGUAAUCCAACUCGCACCGGAACCCCGACGCGGCCACGCCGUAAAACACCCAACUUCUGAACGUUGACCUCGAAUCAGGUAGGACUACCCGCUGAACUUAAGCAUAUCAAUAGCGGAGGA
rnacentral:misc_RNA from 1 species